GGUGCCGUGGUCUCAACGGCUCGUCUGAAAUGCCUGAGUGUACCCCGCUUUGCGGCGUAUUCGGUGUGAUACAUCUUCACCGGAGUUGAUCUUUCGGGAUCGCGUCUGUAAUGGUGUGGCGCUAUGCUUUCCAACCGUCCCUUUAGGACAAUCUCUGACAAUUUGACCUCAAAUCGGGUGGGACUACCCGCUGAACUUAA
rnacentral:misc_RNA from 1 species